AACGAACGCUGGCGGCAUGCCUAACACAUGCAAGUCGAACGAGACCUUCGGGUCUAGUGGCGCACGGGUGCGUAACGCGUGGGAAUCUGCCCUUGGUUCGGAAUAACAGUUAGAAAUGACUGCUAAUACCGGAUGAUGACGAAAGUCCAAAGAUUUAUCGCCGAGGGAUGAGCCCGCGUAGGAUUAGCUAGUUGGUGAGGUAAAGGCUCACCAAGGCGACGAUCCUUAGCUGGUCUGAGAGGAUGAUCAGCCACACUGGGACUGAGACACGGCCCAGACUCCUACGGGAGGCAGCAGUGGGGAAUAUUGGACAAUGGGCGAAAGCCUGAUCCAGCAAUGCCGCGUGAGUGAUGAAGGCCUUAGGGUCGUAAAGCUCUUUACCAGGGAUGAUAAUGACAGUACCUGGAGAAUAAGCUCCGGCUAACUCCGUGCCAGCAGCCGCGGUAAU
rnacentral:rRNA from 1 species